rnacentral:rRNA from 1 species
ACGUACACUCCUACGGGAGGCAGCAGUGGGGAAUAUUGGACAAUGGGCGCAAGCCUGAUCCAGCCAUGCCGCGUGAGUGAUGAAGGCCCUAGGGUUGUAAAGCUCUUUCACCGGUGAAGAUAAUGACGGUAACCGGAGAAGAAGCCCCGGCUAACUUCGUGCCAGCAGCCGCGGUAAUACGAAGGGGGCUAGCGUUGUUCAGAUUUACUGGGCGUAAAGCGCACGUAGGCGGACUAUUAAGUCAGGGGUGAAAUCCCGGGGCUCAACCCCGGAACUGCCUUUGAUACUGGUAGUCUUGAGUUCGAGAGAGGUGAGUGGAAUUCCGAGUGUAGAGGUGAAAUUCGUAGAUAUUCGGAGGAACACCAGUGGCGAAGGCGGCUCACUGGCUCGAUACUGACGCUGAGGUGCGAAAGCGUGGGGAGCAAACAGGAUUAGAUACCCUAGUAGUCCCAUG